rnacentral:tRNA from 1 species
GAGGGUAUAGCUCAAGUGGUAGAGUGCAUGCUUAGCAUGCACGAGGUCCUGGGUUCAAUCCCCAGUGCCUCUU